UACGUAGGGGGCUAGCGUUGUCCGGAAUCAUUGGGCGUAAAGCGCGUGCAGGCGGUCCGGUAAGUCCGCUGUGAAAGUCGGGGGCUCAACCCUCGGAUGCCGGUGGAUACUGUCGGGCUUGAGUACGGAAGAGGCGAGUGGAAUUCCUGGUGUAGCGGUGAAAUGCGCAGAUAUCAGGAGGAACACCAAUUGCGAAGGCAGCUCGCUGGGACGUUACUGACGCUGAGACGCGAAAGCGUGGGGAGCAAACAGG
rnacentral:rRNA from 1 species